CUGGGACUGACCGACAGUGUCAUGGAAAGCGGAUUGUGAUGUGAUUUCAGGGGGAGAGUAUGGACAACUUCAACUGGGGAGUGCGCAGGCGCUCCCUGGACAGCCUGGACAAGUGCGACAUGCAGACCCUGGAGGAGCGCCAGCUCUCUAGAAGCACUCCCAGCCUAAACAAGAUGAGCCACGAGGAUUCAGAUGAGUCAUCGGAGGAGGACCUCACCGCCAGCCAGAUCCUGGAACAUUCAGACCUUAUCAUGAAUCUCUCCCCCUCCGAGGAGGCCAAUCCUAUGGAGCUGCUGACCAGCGCCUGUGACUCCACCCCGGCAGACCCUCAUCCCUUCAAUGCCAGGAUAACAAACUUCGAGGCCUCUUUGCCUGAUAUCAAUAAUCUGCAGAUUUCGGAGGGGUCAAAGGUGAAGAAGAGAUUUGUGGAAUUUUUAUUAUAGUCCGAGGGGCUUUACGCCUCUGCUUUGAAGCUCCUGCCCGUUCCCACGCUUUGAAGUUGAUUUACGCUCACAGACUUGAGCAGACCUCCCUUUGGUUGAGAGAUUUGGCCUGAGGUCUUUGUAAGAGGAAGUCCUUGACUACUGGCUGCAGAGGGAAGCUGUGGAGAGACUGUUAUAGUGGCGAGAGUGUGGUGGCUUUUAAGAAACAAUUCUCUAAGUGAGGCGUAGGAGUAUUCGCCCGAGGGGGGGGGAUUUUUCCCUGCGUAGGAACCAUUACACAAUUUGCUCAUUGAUUCCAUAGGAAUAUUUAAUGUUGAGCACACAGAAUUAUGCCAGACUUUCAUAAAACUCUCCUAGCUAAAGGUUGGCUUUGAGACAAAAAAAAAAAAA
rnacentral:lncRNA from 1 species